GUAAAACAGUAUCUCGUGACGGGUGUGAUGACAACUAUUUAUACUGUCCAGCAGCUAAAGAUCUUCAGCAGGAGGAUUUGAAGCAUUUCCAAUGUCACUGGCUGAAAGGUGAGCCUGUGAUUGUCCGCAAUGUGCUUGAGACUGCGUCAGGGUUAAGCUGGGAGCCCAUGGUUAUGUGGCGAGCCUGUCGUCAGAUAAAGAACUUAAACCACCCUCUUCUUUUGGAUGUCGUUGCUAUCAAUUGCUUAGAUUGGUGUGAGGUAGAAGUUAACAUCCAUCAGUUUUUUAAGGGAUAUUUGGAAGGUCGAACUGAUA
rnacentral:misc_RNA from 1 species